rnacentral:lncRNA from 1 species
GAUCCAUCGAUCGAAAGUAAUUUAAAAAUUAACCAUCAAUGGCACAUACCUCAAAUUUUCAACUCUUGAGAAUAUGUGUCAUCAUCUUAUUAAUUUUUUGGAUGAUUUAUGGACACAUUUACUAUAUAAAUGAUAACUAACUAUCCCUAAAUAAUUAGAUCAAGUAUAAAAUUAUAUCUUAAAAAAAAUUAAUGUGUCAAUCUGAUUAGCUUCUAGGACAUACAUCUAACAGCUG